GGCUGACAGAUUGCACAGCUAUCACCUCAGGGAUGAAGUCUGUGUCAGGAAAAGGUACGAGGAGGAAGGCAGCGGACCAUUUCUUGCAAUUCAGAAAUGCUCUGCGUCUUUCCCCUGCGAGGGAACAUGAGUCAUCUUCUGCAGGUGAUGCUGACGUGCGUGGCCAAUCGGAUCAAGCGGAUGCACUGAUUUUGACUUGAGGGGAGAGCUGGAGUUACUCAUGCGGAUGGACUGAUGCCAUACUGCGAGAGCCGACUGGUGGAGGUAGGAUAUGAGUCUUUCUGUCAGCGGCGGAGCAGAAGGGGGAGUCGGGUCUAAUGAGGAGAGACGUUUCUGCUUUACCCUCCCCUCCCCUCAGUCACAUAUCAAAGGAGUGAAAGCCGUGAUGAAUCCACACCUUACGUACUUCCAGUGCACACGCUUCCCUUGUGUGCAGCUCACACUGUCACACAACAUCCUCAGCGUGUGAGUGCGUGUUCGCCAUCUCGAUUUUCAAUUCAAAAAGUCGCUCACUGUGCCUGUCGGUCAUACGAACAGGUGACUGCGAUGUCAGUUAUAUUACAGUAAUCCUUUCCUGUUGAUGUGACUCUCCUUGUUGCCGUGGUAACAGCAAGUGUGGCUCAGUACAUAACGGAAAAUCCUCGUUGACCAUCUGCCCUGAAAUAAUUCAACCCUCCUGUUGUCCUCAUUUACAGGCACCAAAAAAUAUUGUUUCCUUGUCUGAAAAAAAUCCAGCAUAAAAAUUCCCCAAAUUUCUGAAAAUUGCAAAAACUUCAGGAAGAAAAUUCCCAUAAUUCCUUCAA